rnacentral:rRNA from 1 species
CCUACGGGAGGCAGCAGUGAGGAAUAUUGGUCAAUGGCCGGAAGGCUGAACCAGCCAUGCCGCGUGAAGGUCAGUGCCCUAUGGGCGUUAAACUUCUUUUGUGCGGGAGCAAUAAUGGUCACGUGUGGCCAGACGAGAGUACCGUACGAAUAAACAUCGGCUAACUCCGUGCCAGCAGCCGCGGUAAUACGGGGGAUGCAAGCGUUAUCCGGCUUUAUUGGGUUUAAAGGGUGCGUAGGCUGUGAGGUAAGUCAGCGGUGAAAUGCCCCCGCUCAACGGGGUGAAGUGCCAUUGAUACUGCCUGGCUGGAAUGCGGAUGCAGUGGGAGGAAUGUGUGGUGUAGCGGUGAAAUGCAUAGAUAUCACACAGAACACCGAUUGCGAAGGCAUCUCACGAAUCCGCGAUUGACGCUGAUGCACGAAAGCGUGGGUAUCAAACAGGAUUAGAUACCCGAGUAGUC